AUUGAACGCUGGCGGCAUGCCUUACACAUGCAAGUCGAACGGUAACAGGUCUUCGGAUGCUGACGAGUGGCGAACGGGUGAGUAAUACAUCGGAACGUGCCUAGUAGUGGGGGAUAACUACUCGAAAGAGUGGCUAAUACCGCAUGAGAUCUACGGAUGAAAGCAGGGGAUCGCAAGACCUUGUGCUACUAGAGCGGCCGAUGGCAGAUUAGGUAGUUGGUGGGAUAAAAGCUUACCAAGCCGACGAUCUGUAGCUGGUCUGAGAGGACGAUCAGCAACACUGGAACUGGGACACGGACCAGCCUCCUACGGAAGGCAGCAGUGGGGAAUUUUGGACAAGGGGCGCAAGCCUGAUCCAGCAAUGCCGCGUGCAGGAUGAAGGCCUUCGGGUUGUAAACUGCUUUUGUACGGAACGAAAAGCCCUGGGUUAAUACCCUGGGGUCAUGACGGUACCGUAAGAAUAAGCACCGGCUAACUACGUGCCAGCCGCCGCGGUAACAC
rnacentral:rRNA from 1 species